AUUGAACGCUGGCGGCAGGCCUAACACAUGCAAGUCGAGCGAGCGGCGGACGGGAGAGUAAUGUAUGGGGACUGCCCGAUAGAGGGGGAUAACUACUGGAAACGGUGGCUAAUACCGCAUACUAUCGGAUAACCCAUAUGGGAUUAGCUAGUAGGUGGAGUAAAGGCUCACCUAGGCGACGAUCUCUAGCUGGUCUGAGAGGAUGAUCAGCCACACGGGGACAGGGAGCCGGCCCCGACUCCUAAGGAGGCAGCAGUGAGGAAUAUUGGCAAGUAGGCGCAGGCCUGAUGCAGCCAUGCAGGUUGUAUGAGGAAGGCCUUAGGGUUAUAAAGUACUUUCAUCGGGGCGACGUUGCCCGCAGAGGAAGCACCGGCUAACUCCGUGCCAGCAGCCGCGGUAAUAC
rnacentral:rRNA from 1 species